GACGAACGCUGACGGCGUGCUUAACACAUGCAAGUCGAAGGGAGUUGCGAACGGGUGAGUAACACGUGAGUAACCUGCCCUUUUCUUUGGGAUAAGCCUGGGAAACUGGGUCUAAUACUGGAUGGUUUGGGGUGGGCUCGGGGCUUAUCAGCUUGUUGGUGGGGUGAUGGCGUACCAAGGCUUUGAGGGGUAGCCGGCCUGCGAGGGUGGCCGGUCACACUGGGACUGAGAUACGGCCCAGACUCCUACGCGGUGCAGCAGUGGGGGAUAUGGCACAAUGGAGGAAAGUCUGAUGCAGCGACGUCGUGGGGGGGAUGAAGGCCUGCGGGUUGUAAACUCCUUUCGCCCGCGGAAUGGUAGUGGGUAAAGAAGCGCCGGCUAACUACGUGCCAGCAGCCGCGGUAAUAC
rnacentral:rRNA from 1 species